rnacentral:rRNA from 1 species
CCUACGGGAGGCAGCAGUGAGGAAUAUUGGUCAAUGGACGCAAGUCUGAACCAGCCAUGCCGCGUGCAGGAAGACGGCCCUAUGAGUUGUAAACUGCUUUUGUACGAGGGUAAACGCAGAUACGCGUAUCUGUCUGAAAGUAUCGUACGAAUAAGGAUCGGCCAACUCCGUGCCAGCAGCCGCGGUAAUACGGAGGAUUCAAGCGUUAUCCGGAUUUAUUUGGUUUAAAGGGUGCGUAGGCGGUCGGAUAAGUUAGAGGUGAAAUCCCGAGGCUCAACUUCGGAAUUGCCUCUGAUACUGUUCGGCUAGAGAGUAGUUGCGGUAGGCGGAAUGUAUGGUGUAGCGGUGAAAUGCUUAGAGAUCAUACAGAACACCGAUUGCGAAGGCAGCUUACCAAGCUACUUCUGACGUUGAGGCACGAAAGCGUGGGGAGCAAACAGGAUUAGAUACCCCAGUAGUC